GCGUCGAAUGAUGCUACGGUAUAAGCAUCGAUCGAUGCUAUGGUAUGAACGUCGAUCGACGCUGCCUUAGGCAAGCGUUAUCGAUCUGAUCGAUUGUGUUCAACUAGAUUCCUAGACCAACGCUAGUAUGUGCCUAGGUAUCUAAUCCAACAGGAUUCAGGUUCUGUUAAUUGAUUGCACUCUCGUGCCUUUCAAUUGUCCUAUGAUUCUAGGCUCAAACA
rnacentral:lncRNA from 1 species